rnacentral:rRNA from 1 species
UACGUAGGGUGCGAGCGUUGUCCGGAAUUAUUGGGCGUAAAGAGCUCGUAGGCGGCUUGUCACGUCGGUUGUGAAAGCCCGGGGCUUAACCCCGGGUCUGCAGUCGAUACGGGCAGGCUAGAGUGUGGUAGGGGAGAUCGGAAUUCCUGGUGUAGCGGUGAAAUGCGCAGAUAUCAGGAGGAACACCGGUGGCGAAGGCGGAUCUCUGGGCCAUUACUGACGCUGAGGAGCGAAAGCGUGGGGAGCGAACAGG